rnacentral:lncRNA from 1 species
GAUGCAAAUGACCAACCACAAAGGUUGAUACGCCGCCUGCUCCAAGCUGGUGAAGUGUGGUGCUCGCCGAGAUGUUAAAAUCCCGACAAGCGAAAUGUCGCCAACUCCACGGCGACGCUCCUGGACCGCCAGAAUCCUAUUCCAUAGCGGUGUCGAGUUCCAAAGCACAAGCCGGCAUAGGCUGAAGGGCGCUGGAGAGGGAGUGUCGCGCUACAGCUGCAAAGUGGACUGACGAAAAACGAGGACGCCCACAAAUGCAAACUGCUUCACAGUGGUUCGUAGGCCUUAAGAAGCCUAAAACAAAAGGAAGCAAGUCAAACAGCGCGAGAGAAAUGACGUCGACUGUUUCAAAGCUGUGCAGAAGGAAAAGAGGAUGCAAGGAUAGCAAGAGAAGAGAGUAAAGUAAAGUGAAGCAGGGCAACCGCGAGAGUGGUCUCGGUCGCGUCCAGCAGUGGUGACGGCUCGUCUGACAGCGCCAGCGCUGCAAAGGCGGUCUCCAGGUGGUCUGCUGGGCCCAAGGCGGCAGCUCCCCCCCCCCCAGCGUGGAGGCCGGGG